GACGAACGCUGGCGGCGUGCUUAACACAUGCAAGUCGAACGGAAGGGCCCUGCUUUUGUGGGGUGCUCGAGUGGCGAACGGGUGAGUAACACGUGAGUAACCUGCCCUUGACUUUGGGAUAACUUCAGGAAACUGGGGCUAAUACCGGAUAGGAGCUCCUGCUGCAUGGUGGGGGUUGGAAAGUUUCGGCGGUUGGGGAUGGACUCGCGGCUUAUCAGCUUGUUGGUGGGGUAGUGGCUUACCAAGGCUUUGACGGGUAGCCGGCCUGAGAGGGUGACCGGCCACAUAGGGACUGAGAUACGGCCCAGACUCCUACGGGAGGCAGCAGUGGGGAAUAUUGCACAAUGGGCGGAAGCCUGAUGCAGCAACGCCGCGUGCGGGAUGACGGCCUUCGGGUUGUAAACCGCUUUCGCCUGUGACGAAGCGUGAGUGACGGUAAUGGGUAAAGAAGCACCGGCUAACUACGUG
rnacentral:rRNA from 1 species